AGGGAUGUAGCUCAGUGGUAGGGUGCUUGCCUGGCAUGCAUGAGGCCCUGGAUUCAAUACCCAGCACUGCAA
rnacentral:tRNA from 1 species